rnacentral:rRNA from 1 species
ACGACGCUGGCGGCGUGCCUAAUACAUGCAAGUCGAACGGCUUUUCUAUGGAAGCUUGCUUCCACUGAGAAGAUAGUGGCGGAACGGGUGAGUAACGACGUGGGUAACCUGCCCAUAAGAGGGGGAUAACAUCCGGAAACGGGUGCUAAUACCGCAUAGUUUUCUUGAUCGCAUGAUUGAGAAAGGAAAGACGGCCUUUGUGCUGUCGCUUAUGGAUGGACCCGCGGCGUAUUAGUUAGUUGGUGAGGUAACGGCUCACCAAGACGAUGAUACGUAGCCGACCUGAGAGGGUGAUCGGCCACAUUGGGACUGAGACACCGGCCCAAACUCCUACGGGAGGCAGCAGUAGGGAAUCUUCCGCAAUGGACGAAAGUCUGACGGAGCAACGCCGCGUGAGUGAAGGUAAAGGGUUUUCGGAUCGUAAAACUCUGUUGUCAGAGAAGAACAAGUUGGAGAGUAACUGCUCCAGCCUUGACGGUAUCUGACCAGAAAGCCACGGCUAACUACGUGCCAGCAGCGGC